rnacentral:rRNA from 1 species
AUGCAAGUCGUGCGAGAAAGUACCUUCGGGUGCGAGUAGAGCGGAGGACGGGUGAGUAACGCGUAGGAAUCUACCUAGUAGAAGGGGAUAGCCCGAGGAAACUCGGAUUAAUACCGUAUACCUCCUUAGGGAGAAAGAGGGCUUAGCUUUGAUGCUCUCGCUAUUAGAUGAGCCUGCGUAAGAUUAGCUUGUUGGUGAGGUAAUGGCUCACCAAGGCGACGAUCUUUAGCUGGUCUGAGAGGACGAUCAGCCACAUUGGGACUGAGACACGGCCCAGACUCCUACGGGAGGCAGCGGUGGGGAAUAUUGGACAAUGGGCGCAAGCCAGAUCCAGCCAUACCGCGUGUGUGAAGAAGGCUUUCGGGUUGUAAAGCACUUUAAGUAAGGAGAAAAAGAUUGUAGUUAAUACCUGCAAUCCUUGAUGUUACUUACAGAAUAAGGACCGGCUAAUUCCGUGCCAGCAGCCGCGGUAAUACGGAAGGUCCAAGCGUUAAUCGGAAUUACUGGGCGUAAAGCGCGCGUAGGUGGUUUUUUAAGUUGGAUGUGAAAGCCCUGGGCUCAACCUAGGAACUGCAUCCAAAACUAGAUGACUAGAGUACGAAAGAGGGAAGUAGAAUUCACAGUGUAGCGGUGGAAUGCGUAGAUAUUGUGAAGAAUACCAAUGGCGAAGGCAGCUUCCUGGUUCUGUACUGACACUAAGGUGCGAAAGCGUGGGUAGCGAACAGGAUUAGAUACCCUGGUAGUCCACGCCGUAAACGAUGACAACUAGCUGUUGGGAGACAAGAUCUUUCAGUGGCGCAGCUAACGCUUUAAGUUGUCCGCCUGGGGAGUACGGCCGCAAGGCUAAAACUCAAAUGAAUUGACGGGGACCCGCACAAGCGGUGGAGCAUGUGGUUUAAUUCGAUGCA